AGAAGAAGAGCUGAAAUGAUGGCUGAAUCUGGACAAAACCCUGGACGAGCGCAACUCUAUCUUGCUACUCAUAAGAAGGAAGAUGGGUCAUAUGUUAAUGAAGCAGCAAGAGAAAUAUGUGAAAAAAUUGAGCUAGUUGUAAGUCAAAGCGCCACAGAUGAGUCUGAAGUUUCACCAAAUGAUGUCGUUGGUAAGGUGCUAGGAAAAGAGCAUUCUGGAAGGGUAAGGUGC